rnacentral:rRNA from 1 species
AUGGCGACUGCAUCUGACGCCCAGUCGGCGACAAGCGGUGGUGCUAGGGGGACGAACCCUAGCAAUCUUGAUGACUUCUUCAAUCAACUCGACCUGAAUGGAGAAAGCUUUGAUGACCUCGUGAUCGACGAGGAGGAUUCGGAAAUCAAUGAAAGCGUACGUUGGCUGGCCCUAGCUAGGGUUCAUACGGACAAAAAUUUCAGCCAUGCUGCCUUUUUCAAGGAUAUGAGCGCAGCAUGGAAUACAGCGCAGGUGGUUCGCUUCCGCCCUGUCGGUACUAACCUCUUCGUGAUCCAAGCCUCGCGCCUCGGCGACUGGGAGAGAAUUAUGGAGAGGGGACCUUGGCUCUUCAGGAACAUGGCAGUCCUCUUGCAGCCAUAUGACGGAUUCAGUAAGACUGAGGAGGUGGAGAUUGUCUAUAUGCCAAUCUGGCUGCAGAUUCACAAACUACCCGAUGGGUACUGCAAGAGGGAACUUGUAGAGAAAUUAAUCAAAGGAGCAGGCAAGGUGCUGGAGGUGAGGAUGCAAGGCAAUGCCCGUAGGGAUUACAUCAGAGUAAGAGUCAGACAUGAUGUCCGGGAACCUCUGACCAAAUUCUUCAGUAUAAUCAGAGGGAAAGAGCAUCAAGUAUUUGCGGUCAGAUAUGAGAAGCUGGCAAAAUUCUGUAAAUUUUGUGGCAGAGUUGGGCAUGAUUACAAGGAGUGUGGGAGUGGUGUAUAUGAACCAAAAGAUUUAAAGUUUGGGGAUUGGCUAUAUGCUGAUCCACCAAAUUACUCCCGUGAAGCAAAGAACGGUGGUGCAGGGAACACAUAUAAGGAGGCCUCUCAUGUUGGAGGCCAGGGAGUCAGCAAGAAAGAUGUUGAAUUGAUGGAUACAACUACUAGCCCUAUUAAGAAGCAGAACACCCAUGGUGUGGACAGUGAGAAAAAUGCUAGGAAAAGGUUGAACAUGGAUGGAAGCACGAAUGCCAAUGUCUCUGGAAAGGAAUAA